rnacentral:misc_RNA from 1 species
GAUGAAGAACGCAGCGAAAUGCGAUAAGUAAUGCGAAUUGCAGAAUUCCAGUGAGUCAUCGAAUCUUUGAACGCACAUUGCGCCCGCCAGUAUUCUGGCGGGCAUGCCUGUUCGAGCGUCAUUACAACCCUCAGGCCCCCGGGCCUGGCGUUGGGGAUCGGCGGAGCCCCCCGUGGGCACACGCCGUCCCCCAAAUACAGUGGCGGUCCCGCCGCAGCUUCCAUCGCGUAGUAGCUAACACCUCGCGACUGGAGAGCGGCGCGGCCACGCCGUAAAACACCCAACUCUUCUGAAGUUGACCUCGAAUCAGGUAGGAAUACCCGCUGAACUUAAGCAUAUCAAUAAGCGGAGGA